AUUGAACGCUGCGGCAGGCCUAACACAUGCAAGUCGAGCGGAUGAAGGGAGCUUGCUCCUGGAUUCAGCGGCGGACGGGUGAGUAAUGCCUAGGAAUCUGCCUGGUAGUGGGGGAUAACGUCCGGAAACGGGCGCUAAUACCGCAUACGUCCUGAGGGAGAAAGUGGGGGAUCUUCGGACCUCACGCUAUCAGAUGAGCCUAGGUCGGAUUAGCUAGUUGGUGGGGUAAAGGCCUACCAAGGCGACGAUCCGUAACUGGUCUGAGAGGAUGAUCAGUCACACUGGAACUGAGACACGGUCCAGACUCCUACGGGAGGCAGCAGUGGGGAAUAUCGGACAAUGGGCGAAAGCCUGAUCCAGCCAUGCCGCGUGUGUGAAGAAGGUCUUCGGAUUGUAAAGCACUUUAAGUUGGGAGGAAGGGCAGUAAGUUAAUACCUUGCUGUUUUGACGUUACCAACAGAAUAAGCACCGGCUAACUUCGUG
rnacentral:rRNA from 1 species